CAGGUGAAGUGGAUUUUCAGUGAACUGUAAAGAAGUUUCUCAGAAGAAAGAGAAGACUGUUUACAUAAGAUUUCCUUGAAAGACAUGGCUUCUCUUCAUGUAAAUACAUCCAAGUUCACAGCACGGUCUCCAUUACUGGUUCUUUGAGCCUCAGAAAAGAAUUCUGUUCAUCAGCUGUUACACACAUGUAGUUCACUGAUUUGUGGAACCAUUUGGAAGCAGCACCAACAUUGUUCAGUCAGCGUUGGAUCUUGUCUUCAUGUUUUCUUUACUCUCUGCGGUCUUGCUGUGUGUCGGCCUGUUCUGGUCUCCUGUCAGGAACAAAGCGCAGCGCCCCAGAAUGUGAAGAGAGGGGAGACUGUAGCCAAUCAGAUCUCAACUCUUAGAAGAGAGCUGAGAGUUUACAAUAUAGAGGGAUCCUACAGUUUUGAAGAAUGUGACCAGUGGUUUAACAAGUCCUCAAAACUUAUAUGCCAUCAAAACAUUCAUACUUGGAAGAAACUCUACAAAUGUGAAGAAUGUGUCAAGUCCUUUCAUCUGGCCUCAACUGUUAACAGUCAUAAAACUAUUCAUACUUGGGAGAAACUCAGUAAAUGUCAAGAAUGUGACAAGUCCUUUAGCUAGGCCUCAAAUCUUACAUGUCAUAAAAAUAUUCAUACCGGUAUUUUAUUUUUUUUAAUGGCUAUUGUGAAUGGGAGUGUUUCCCUGUGCUCUUUCUCUGACUGCUUGUCAUUGGUAUAUA